UACAGAGGUCCCGAGCGUUGUUCGGAUUCAUUGGGCGUAAAGGGUGCGUAGGCGGCUUCCUAAGUUUGAUGUGAAAUCCUGGGGCUCAACCCUGGAACUGCAUUGAAUACUGGGAGGCUAGAGUACUGGAGAGGAAACUGGAAUUUACGGUGUAGCAGUGAAAUGCGUAGAUAUCGUAAGGAAGACCAGUGGCGAAGGCGAAUCUCUGGACAGUUACUGACACUGAGGCACGAAGGCCAGGGGAGCAAACGGG
rnacentral:rRNA from 1 species